UCAGGCGAGUGAGAUGAUCGCCUGGCCGUGCAUACGGCUGGGAGGAAAGUCCGAACACCUUAACAAAUGGUAGUGGGUAACGCCCACCCACUCUGAUGCGAGUCAGGGUGAGGACCAGUGCCACAGAGACGAUACUAGUCCCGCGUUGCGGGAUCAAAGGUGAAAAGUGUCGUGAGGUUUUGAGCUGAACACGGGAUAUCCCUUCAGCAUAAGGCUACGCGACUCGGCGCCUGGCGACAGGCUGCCCGUGGUAAACUCUACCUGGUGCAAUGCCAAAUUUGGUCGGCAGCUUGAGGCCGGCAGUAAUGCCGGUCCCAGAUAGAUGAUCAUCACUUUGGUGCAAACCAGAGGACAGAAUUCGGCUUACGGCUGGCCUGAACAA
rfam:Candidatus Buchananbacteria bacterium RIFCSPLOWO2_01_FTLL_56_15 rifcsplowo2_01_scaffold_10651, whole genome shotgun sequence.